UUAAGGGCGCACGGUGGAUGCCUUGGCACUAGAAGCCGAUGAAGGACGUUACUAACGACGAUAUGCUUUGGGGAGCUGUAAGUAAGCUUUGAUCCAGAGAUUUCCGAAUGGGGAAACCCAGCAUGAGUUAUGUCAUGUUAUCGAUAUGUGAAUACAUAGCAUAUCAGAAGGCACACCCGGAGAACUGAAACAUCUUAGUACCCGGAGGAAGAGAAAGAAAAUUCGAUUCCCUUAGUAGCGGCGAGCGAAACGGGAAGAGCCCAAACCAACAAGCUUGCUUGUUGGGGUUGUAGGACACUCUAUACGGAGUUACAAAGGACGACAUUAGACGAAUCAUCUGGAAAGAUGAAUCAAAGAAGGUAAUAAUCCUGUAGUCGAAAAUGUUGUCUCUCUUGAGUGGAUCCUGAGUACGACGGAGCACGUGAAAUUCCGUCGGAAUCUGGGAGGACCAUCUCCUAAGGCUAAAUACUCUCUAGUGACCGAUAGUGAACCAGUACCGUGAGGGAAAGGUGAAAAGCACCCCGGAAGGGGAGUGAAAUAGAACCUGAAACCGUGUGCUUACAAGUAGUCAGAGCCCGUUAAUGGGUGAUGGCGUGCCUUUUGUAGAAUGAACCGGCGAGUUACGAUUUGAUGCAAGGUUAAGCAGUAAAUGUGGAGCCGUAGCGAAAGCGAGUCUGAAUAGGGCGUUUAGUAUUUGGUCGUAGACCCGAAACCAGGUGAUCUACCCUUGGUCAGGUUGAAGUUCAGGUAACACUGAAUGGAGGACCGAACCGACUUACGUUGAAAAGUGAGCGGAUGAACUGAGGGUAGCGGAGAAAUUCCAAUCGAACCUGGAGAUAGCUGGUUCUCUCCGAAAUAGCUUUAGGGCUAGCCUCAAGUGAUGAUUAUUGGAGGUAGAGCACUGUUUGGACGAGGGGCCCCUCUCGGGUUACCGAAUUCAGACAAACUCCGAAUGCCAAUUAAUUUAACUUGGGAGUCAGAACAUGGGUGAUAAGGUCCGUGUUCGAAAGGGAAACAGCCCAGACCACCAGCUAAGGUCCCAAAAUAUAUGUUAAGUGGAAAAGGAUGUGGCGUUGCCCAGACAACUAGGAUGUUGGCUUAGAAGCAGCCAUCAUUUAAAGAGUGCGUAAUAGCUCACUAGUCGAGUGACACUGCGCCGAAAAUGUACCGGGGCUAAACAUAUUACCGAAGCUGUGGAUUGUCCUUUGGACAAUGGUAGGAGAGCGUUCUAAGGGCGUUGAAGCAUGAUCGUAAGGACAUGUGGAGCGCUUAGAAGUGAGAAUGCCGGUGUGAGUAGCGAAAGACGGGUGAGAAUCCCGUCCACCGAUUGACUAAGGUUUCCAGAGGAAGGCUCGUCCGCUCUGGGUUAGUCGGGUCCUAAGCUGAGGCCGACAGGCGUAGGCGAUGGAUAACAGGUUGAUAUUCCUGUACCACCUAUAAUCGUUUUAAUCGAUGGGGGGACGCAGUAGGAUAGGCGAAGCGUGCGAUUGGAUUGCACGUCUAAGCAGUAAGGCUGAGUAUUAGGCAAAUCCGGUACUCGUUAAGGCUGAGCUGUGAUGGGGAGAAGACAUUGUGUCUUCGAGUCGUUGAUUUCACACUGCCGAGAAAAGCCUCUAGAUAGAAAAUAGGUGCCCG
rnacentral:rRNA from 1 species